rnacentral:tRNA from 1 species
GGGUCGGUGCCCGAGUGGCCAAAGGGAGCAGACUGUAAAUCUGCCGGCAUCGCCUACGUUGGUUCGAAUCCAGCCCGGCCCACCA